rnacentral:tRNA from 1 species
UAAAAGAUAAGCUAAGCAAGCUAAUGGGUUCAUACCCCGUUUAUAAAGGUAAACCCCUUUUCUUUUUA